UACGAAAGGGGCUAGCGUUGUUCGGAAUUACUGGGAGUAAAGCGCACGUAGGCGGCCUUGUAAGUUGGGGGUGAAAUCCCCGGGCUCAACCCGGGAACUGCCUUCAAGACUGCAAAGCUCGAGGACGCGAGAGGUUAGCGGAAUUCCGAGUGUAGAGGUGAAAUUCGUAGAUAUUCGGAAGAACACCAGUGGCGAAGGCGGCUAACUGGCGCGUUUCUGACGCUGAGGUGCGAAAGCGUGGGGAGCAAACAGG
rnacentral:rRNA from 1 species